GACGAACGCUGGCGGCGUGCUUAACACAUGCAAGUCGAACGGAAAGGCCUGCUUUCCCUUGUGGAUUGCGGGUACUCGAGUGGCGAACGGGUGAGUAACACGUGAGUGAUCUGCCCCAAACUUGGGUAUAAGUCCGGGUAACUGGGUCUAAUUUCCGAUAGGACCGAUGGGUGGUGCCUGUGGUGGAAAACGAUGUUCUAGUGGCUGGGGAUGAGCUCGCGGCCUAUAAGCUGGUUGGUGGGGUAAUGGCCUACCAAGGCGGCGACGGGUAGCCGGCCUGAGAGCGUGGACUGGCUCAUUAGGACUGAGAUACAGCCCAGGCCCCUACGGCAGGCAGCAGUGGUGAAUAUUGCACAAUGGGCGAAAGCCUGAUGCAGCGACGCCGCGUGAGGGAUGACGGCCUUCGGGUUGUAAACUCCUUUCGACCGCGAGGGAGCCACCUGGUUGGAAGGGUGGUGACGGUAGUGAUAGAAGAAGCACCGGCUAACUACGUG
rnacentral:rRNA from 1 species